rnacentral:rRNA from 1 species
UACGUAGGGUGCAAGCGUUGUCCGGAAUUAUUGGGCGUAAAGAGCUCGUAGGCGGUCUGUCGCGUCGAAUGUGAAAACCCGGGGCUCAACCCCGGGCCUGCAUUCGAUACGGGCAGACUAGAGUUCGGUAGGGGAGACUGGAAUUCCUGGUGUAGCGGUGAAAUGCGCAGAUAUCAGGAGGAACACCGGUGGCGAAGGCGGGUCUCUGGGCCGAAACUGACGCUGAGGAGCGAAAGCGUGGGGAGCGAACAGG